GGAGAGUUGGCAGAGUGGUAAUGCAGCGGACUCGAAAUCCGCCGAACCGGCUAUAACCGGCGCGCAGGUUCAAAUCCUGUACUCUCCU
rfam:Lactobacillus aviarius subsp. araffinosus DSM 20653 NODE_56, whole genome shotgun sequence.